AACUUAUUUAAGUAGAAAAAAGAUGAAACAUAUAAAUAAAAUAUAGGAAAACAAUUCUCACUGGCAAAGGUAAACACUUAAUGAGCAGUAGAUUAACCCAUUAUAAAGGAAGUAUAAAGGUUAAGAGGCAAAUAGGAAAAUCAUGUGUAAUUAUAACAAUAAAUUAAGGAACACAGAAAAGUAAAAAAUAAUAAAUAUAUAAACAUGAAGGGGGUGAGUAAAAUAAAGUAGUGAUUUCAGAAUGUGCUGGAACUUAAGCAACGAUCACCUUAAAAUAGACUGAUAUCAAGAUAACUUGGUAUCUGUGAAGCACAUGGUAACCACAAACCAAAAUCUGUAAGAGAUAAACAAGAAAUAAGGAGAAGGCAUCCCAACACAACACUACAGAGAGUCAUCAACAUACAAGAGAAGGGAGCAAGAGAGUAAGAAAGGAACAGA